UACAGAGGGGGCAAGCGUUGUUCGGAAUUACUGGGCGUAAAGGGCGCGUAGGCGGCCUGUUAAGUCGAACGUGAAAUCCCCGGGCUCAACCCGGGAACUGCGUCCGAUACUGGCAGGCUUGAAUCCGGGAGAGGGAUGCGGAAUUCCAGGUGUAGCGGUGAAAUGCGUAGAUAUCUGGAGGAACACCGGUGGCGAAGGCGGCAUCCUGGACCAACACUGACGCUGAGUGAGCGAAAGCCAGGGGAGCAAACGGGG
rnacentral:rRNA from 1 species